rnacentral:rRNA from 1 species
AUGCACGCGCACCGCCCGCCGCCGCCGCCGGGCGGUUCGCCGGCGCCGGCGCCCUCUCCGUCCCCGUACCAGUCGCCAAUGCCGUCCCCGACAGCGGCAUUUCAGGGCGGGCUCAUCAGCUCGCCGCCUUCUCCCUCUGCGGUCGCGUCGCCUGGACCGGCGCCCGUGCCUGCGCCCGCGCCGGAGCCUAAUGCGGUGCUCGCGUACGCGGGCGCGCGGCGAGGCGGGGGUGGCAUGAGCCCGCCGCUCAUCGCCAUGCUGGCGGUGGUGGGGGCUGCGCUGCUCGUGGUGCUCUACGCGCGGCUGGCCAGGCGCGUGGUCCGAGCCGUCCGGCGGCGGUGGCGUGGGUGGAGGAGGCGGCGGCGGCUGCUGAUGCUCCCGCUCGGCUCCCCGGCGCACGACUCCUUCGCGUCCUUCACCACCUACGACAACUUCUACCACACCUUCUCGCCGUACGGCUUGGACGACGCGGCCAUCAAGUCGCUGCCCUCGGCGCAGUUCCUCAAGGCGGAGGCCGCGCGCGCGAGCGCCGGCGCCCGCGACUGCGCCGUGUGCCUGCUGGAGUUCGCCGACGGCGACGAGCUCCGCGCGCUGCCGCUGUGCGCGCACGCCUUCCACGCCGACUGCAUCGACGUCUGGCUCCGCGCGCACGCCUCCUGCCCGCUCUGCCGCGCCGCCGUCGCGCUCCCGCCCCCCGUCUCCUCGCCGCUCCGCUCCGCCCGACGCGUUCGCCCCAGCCUCGACGACCUCCUCUUCUUCCACCCCGUCCCGCCGCCUCCACAAAACGACGCCGGCGCCCUGCCGGAGAUCACGCCGGCCAGCCCCGAUCAGCUCAACCCGAGGGACUUCCUCCUCAAGCGCUCCUACUCCUUCGGCUUCGAGCGAAAUAUCGCCACGGAGGCCGCGUCCACAGCAUCCCCUUCCUGGCGCUACCGCUUGGGCGGCGGAGGCGGGGACGGCGCCAGCGGCCGCGGCCGGAGCUUCUGGAGCAAGCGCUGGCCGUCCCCAUUCGGCGGCGUCGGGGGCUCCGCGGCGGCCGCAGCCCGUGUGUUCUCGUUCCGCUCGGCCGCGGGCAAGUCCUCCCCCUUCGCCCGCCGCCGCGCCGGCGCAGCCCCCGCAGGAGGCGGGUUCUUCAUGUCCCUGUCCUCCGAGCCCCCGUCCAUCGCCGCGGCGAGGCGGAGCAACCGCGCGUCGAGCCGGCUCCGGUGCGGGGACCCCGAGGCGCUGCUCUCGCCGGACCGUCUCAGCCGCUGA